rnacentral:rRNA from 1 species
AUGUGUGUGGCCCUCUUUGCUGUCUUCCACAGCUUUCUUGAACUGCAUCUGCAAUUGGUGGAUGCUAGCUUCUGCUCGCAAGAUCUGCAGUUCAAUAAAGCUGUGGGAAAUUGCAGAGAGAGACCAAUUGGACAGCUUCAUUGGCGGAUCAUUCACCAGCUUCUUCAGGUUUGUAGAUGCACGGUGGUUCUUUUAAGAUAA